UGGUGAAUAUAUUUAAUACCAGUCUGUACAAAAUAAUUUCCCAGGUAUCCUCUCCUUUAAUGUCAGAACAGCCUGCAGAGGGCAGUGCUGUCAUUUGUAAGUCUUUUUUUUUUUUUUUAAUUGCAAAAAAUACGUGACAUAAAAUUUAUCGUAAGUAGCAUUGAGUACAUUCACAACGCUGUGCAGCCAUCACCACUGUCCAUCUCGUGAAUGUUGUAGAAUUUCAAGAUUGUGGAGUUGGACUGAAUGCUGCACAGUUCAAACAGCUGCUUAUUUCGGCUGUGAAGGACCUGUUUGGGGAGGUUGAUGCCGCCUUACCUUUGGACAUCCUAACCUAUGAAGAGAAGACCUUGUCAGCCAUCUUGAGAAUAUGUAGCAGUGGUCUUGUCAAAUUGUGGAGCUCUUUGACCCUGUUAGGAUCCUAUAAAGGCAAAAAAUGUGCUUUCCGGGUGAUUCAGGUUUCUCCAUUUCUUCUUGCAUUAUCUGGUAAUAGUAGGGAACUAGUAUUGGAUUGAAUGAAUAGUCUUCCAUUUUGGAAACGUUCAUCCACUCUCAUAUUUAUUUUUUGGUGCCUGCAUGUUUGAAGACUGAAGCAGGCUAAAAGCUCUUGAUGAAAUUUGAGGGUGCUGAAGAUGUUCCCACUAAUUUCCAGCCAUCACCUUUGGUGGGGUGGGCUUCGGAGGACAGUCUGUCUGAACCUGCCAGUGCUGACCCUGCAGCACUUUCAGCAUAUGCACAUCAAAGUUGGAGACCGCGCUGAACUUAGGAGGGCCUUCACACAGACUGAUGUGGCUACCUUCUCAGAAUUAACAGGGGAUGUCAAUCCUUUGCAUUUGAAUGAAGACUU
rnacentral:lncRNA from 1 species